UCGUGCUAGACGGGGAGGUAGCGGCGCCCUGUAACCCGCAAUCCGCUCUAGCGGGGUUGAAUUCCUCAUUUGAGGCAUCGUAAUUGUUUGGUCUGCCCUUGACAA
rnacentral:SRP_RNA from 1 species